rnacentral:tRNA from 1 species
GCGGGAUUAGUUCAUCGGUAGAAUUUCUGCUUCCCAAGCAGACUAGGCGGGUUCGACUCCCGUAUCCCGCUCCA